AUGGAGCAGAUAAUUGUAAGAGACGAGUCAAGCUAUCAUUUUGGUGCUCUGAAUAAGCUCCUCUUGUGGUUUUUGGUAAACUUGAGAGGGAUAACAUGGCUGAGUACAUCUCCAGCAUCCAUAUUUCCAAGGCUCACUUGUUUGGAUCUGAAUAGCUGCUCCAAGCUAGAGAACCUCUCGUGGGUGAUGUACUUGCCUUGCCUUGAACAGCUCGAGGUACGUUUCUGCAACGUUAUGAAGGAAGCAUUUCCGGGGACAGGGCACCACGGUGAAAUAAUGAGCAUGGAUCAAGAAAGUUCAGUGAAAUCAAAUGGUACAUUUUCUUGCCUGAAAUACCUGCGCCUUUCAGACAACCCGAAGCUGGUCACUAUCUGCGAUCCCGAUGUGACGUUCCCGUCCCUGGAGCAGCUGGUGCUCACGAAAUCUCCAGAGUUGAUCAUGCUCCCUUUCAAGAUGCACAGCUUGCCGCUAAAGCUCCAGGAGCUACAAUUUGAUGAUGUUGAAUGCUGGGACAGAUUGGAAUGUGAAGUAGGUGUCGAAUAUUUCCUGCAACCUUGUCUUAAAUUUGGGUAUGUUAGUGAAAUAUCAUGA
rnacentral:rRNA from 1 species